GGAAAUGUAGUUACAGGGUACUGGG
rnacentral:piRNA from 1 species